rnacentral:lncRNA from 10 species
CAUCUCCAGUUUGUUUGUUGGAGCAGUUGAAGAAGACAGACUCACCCACCCCAUGCCCCACCAGGAUCACUCAGGGGAUGGAAGCUGGCAGCCAUCCAAUUACCACAAGCCAACAUCUUGCCUGAGAAUGGUGCCACAAUAAAGGAAAACAGUCAAGAGAGAAGGAAAAAACCAGAGUUCCAAUGACAGCCUUUCAUCUCCUAAUGUUCACAGUCCUUGGAAAGCCAAGAACAAUAAAGGAAGGGGGACGCGCAUGAAAUUUGAUGCCAUGACUCAAUUGGGAGACCUCCCUUGGGAGAUCAAUCCCCUGUCCUCCUGCUCUCUGCUCCGUGAGAAAGAUCCACCUACGACCUCAGGUCCUCAGACCGACCAGCCCAAGGAACAUCUCACCAAUUUCAAAUCCAGUA